CCCUGGGCAACUCACCACCUCCGGAUCAGGACACAUGAAGUUUUGGAAAUGGCCAGCGCUUUUACUGGUCUCAAACUGAAAGGCCUUCUGGGAAGGCUUAAGAAGACUACCCUGACGGAUAUCAAGGGGAAGGUGGUGUCUGGGUCUGAGUGGGGGAACAUACUAGUGUGGGAUGGGGUACCAUCAAGGUGGAGAUCUGCCAUAAGGGGGGAAGGACGUGCCACGCUGGCACUAUCCAGCAGUUUGCCCUGGACAAGGGGGAGCUCAUGACCAUCGGCACUGACGGAGCCAUUAGGGACAAGAACACCCUGCUGGUCCUGUGUAGGAGUGGUGACGUGGUGGAAGUGCAGUCUCCAGACCCAGAGGCCCAGAACCACGGCACACAGUCCAGUGGAGGCUUCUGAGGGGAGGGCUGCAGUUGCGAACUACCACAUCUCUGGCCUUCCUACAAGACACUUCAUCAAGUCACGCAUCAAGGUCUGGCCCUCACUGUCUGGGAUCAACUGUACUGUAAACACAAACUAGAGAUGUGUUUGUAAAUGUUUAAAUGUCAGCGGUAGGAGGAGAUUGCACGCAGGCAGGCUCUGAAGGAGAAGAGGCAGAGAGAGAGGCGCGGCUGAAUGAAGCCAAAGAGCAGGGCCAUGAGCCCAAUGAUGAGGAGCUGCAGCAGGAAGGCAAGGAGAAGGAAGAGCUGCCCCCUCUCUACACCCCCGACCC